rnacentral:rRNA from 1 species
GGCUUAAUGAGAACAAAACUGUCUCUUACGGACUAGCCAAKGAAAUUGAUCCUUCARUACAAAAGCUGAAAUUAACCCAUAAGACGAGAAGACCCUGUGGAGCUUCAAAACCAAAACCACCAAACAUGCUUCCUGGUUUUUUAGUUGGGGCGACUUUGGAGCAAAAAAAACCCUCCAAAACAUAAAUCCAUUUAUUAAGACUAACACAUCAAAAAUAAUAUCAUAGACCCAGCAGUACCUAUUUACUGCCUGACCAAUGAACCAAGUUACCCCAGGGAUAACAGCGCCAUCCUCUUCUAGAGUCCCUAUCGACAAGAGGGUUUACGACCUCGAUGUUGGAUCAGGGCACCCCUAUAGUGCAGCCGCUAUAAAAGGUUCGUUUGUUCAACGAUUAAAGUCCUACGUGAUCUGAGUUCAGACCGGA